UACAGAGGAUGCAAGCGUUAUCCGGAAUGAUUGGGCGUAAAGCGUCUGUAGGUGGCUUUUUAAGUCCGCCGUCAAAUCCCAGGGCUCAACUCUGGACAGGCGGUGGAAACUACCAAGCUUGAGUACGGUAGGGCAGAGGGAAUUUCCGGUGGAGCGGUGAAAUGCGUAGAGAUCGGAAAGAACACCAACGGCGAAAGCACUCUGCUGGCCGACACUGACACUGAGAGACGAAAGCUAGGGAGCGAAUGGG
rnacentral:rRNA from 1 species